AACCGUGCAAAGGUAGCGUAAUCACUUGUCCCCUAAUUAGGGACUUGUAUGAAAGGUAUGAUGAGGGCCUAACUGUCUCUUGAGGUUAAUCAAUGAAACUGAUCUUUCAGUACAAAAGCUGAAAUACACACAUAAGACGAGAAGACCCUGUGGAGCUUCAAGCAACAUGCUACUCACACCGUUUACAUCUAGCCCUGCUAAACAAACGUCCUCCUAGUAUUAGCUUUAAGUUGGGGCGACUGCGGAGAAAAACGAAACCUCCAUGAAACUAACACCUGCCGCCAAACACACACGUUACGCAGCAUGCUAAAUGACCCAGCACAGCUGAUCACCGAACCAAGUUACCCCAGGGAUAACAGCGCCAUCCCCUUCAAGAGUCCAUAUCGCCAAGGGGGUUUACGACCUCGAUGUUGGAUCAGGACACCCAGAUGGUGUAGCCGCUAUCAAAAGUUCGUUUGUUCAACGAUUAAUGUCCUACGUGAU
rnacentral:rRNA from 1 species